CACAAGAUGUUGACAGCAGUUGUUCAGAGUCCAUACCUGAUGAAGGACAUUGGGAAGCUCUCUCCUGUCCAUCAAACAUAUGGACUAGAAGUGUACCACAAUAUUGUGAAUCACUUCGCCUCUAAGAGCAACCACUACUUCUACACAUCAAUGCUCGCCAGAUUGUACCUUGCAGCCAUGCAUUACAACGAGAACAGCAACAACGCCAAGGCAGUGACCAAAGAUGGAUAACAGAAAUGGCAGCUAUCAUUUCCAAAGGCAAAGAAAGGAAGUGAAGUCGUCGUCAAACCAUGCAAGACUCCACCUACAUAUGGCUAUGUUGCAUUGCUAUUGCAAGCUGCCAUUGACAGAAGACUUGAUGUCCCCAACCACCUAGCUGCAUCACAGGAAGGGAAAAAGAUCAUGGGAGAGAUACCUUCACCUAUCACUCACUCAUUCGUCGCUGUUGACAAAAGUGAACUCAUUCAAAACCACCGAUCACGCUUCUGUUAAUAUUUGUUAUAAACGUACACUACAGAAUACAAAAUACUUAUUUGUAACUUUCCUUGUAGUACUUACCCUUGAGGUCCUAUAGCAUCUUUGACAGAACAACAUUUUUGACAUUUCAGUUGACGCGUGUCUCAUCACUUAUUACAUUGGAUAUUUUUUAACAUAUAACAAGGAGAACAGUUCAUCAAUUACAAUAUGGUUUUAUUUUUUUCAGGUCUAUACCAAUUACAAAAGAGGUAACACAUCUUAUUCAAAAAUAGUUAUCUCAUCAAAUACAACUUCACGCCUAGACAAUUCCAUUUCAUAAGCUAUUGAUCCAAAACAAAAUAAAAAUCAAAACAGUUCUUUACUUCUAUAUUGUCCAACAGAUCAUCAUUAAUAUUUCUUAACCACCUGGUGGUCCUGAACUUUUAACAUUUUUAAGAAAACACAAUUAUUAUAAUGCUGUGUUUGUUUUACUUAAUUUUGCCAAUAUUCACAAGGCUUUUAUUUGUUUAUAUAAAAAAUUGAGAAAACUAAUAGCAUUUACCAGAAACAUGACUACAGCAGAUUAUUAUCGGACCAAAUUAAUGCACAGAGCUCUUUUAUUAUCAUAAUUAUUUUAAAUUAGGUGAGGGUGAAUGGCUGACAUCACAUCUGUAAACAUGAAAUCUAAACGUAAUAAUUAGUACACGCCUAAUAUAUAACACCAACCGUAGGUCAGUGGGUUAUCACAGAUCAAGUGUAUACAUAUGAUCAUAGACCCAAGAUCUUAAAUAGACCAAGGUUAAUAUAACAUGACAAAUUAACAUCAGUCAUCAUUAAAUUUUAUAGGAACAAAACAAAACGAGAUUAACGUAUUAAACAUCUCUAGAGUAGGGUAAACAACGAUAAAGUACGCGCAGCUACACUUAACAGCACUAUAAUUGGGUAAACAACAUUUGACUGCGCGCAGCUACACCGAACAACGCUCUAGUAGAGUAAACAUUUUUACUGCGCGCAGCUACACUAAACAACACCAUGCUAAGUAAUUAGAGAUAAGUUGACUUAAAGAAAACAAAUAUCAAAUGUAGUGUUUACUCCCAUACAUGCAACAACAGUGCCGAUCCUUUCAGACUCAUUACCAGAAUUUUGAUCAGUACCCAAUGCACAUUUAAUAGGCCAUAAGCCAAGUCAAUGAAACACACAAAAAAAACCUAUUCUGUUUACAGUUCGAAAAAGCGAAUAUCUUUUCGUCACUAUGAUAUUGACAACUAUUUCUUAUUUGUAUUGCUAAUUAUAUCAACAGGACCAACAAAGAAAUAAAUAAUGGGGAAAAAAGAAAUAAAAAAUAUAAAACUGAAGCCCUUAUCAAGUGUAGAGGGAACUCUUUAUAUGUAUUUCAGUAUUUGUAAUUAAUGUCUUUUAACGCAUAAAGCACAUGUUGAUUAAUCACAGAAUGUACCCACUUUCCCCGACAUGCCGACCUUCUAUUUGGCUACUCUUAUUUUCCUCGUUACUCCCCCACUACCAUGUUCGUUUACAAUCCAGGCUGGACAAAUUGAAAAGUACAACCAGAAGAUUGAAAGAAAUUUGAUAAUUUAUUUUAAUAAAGGUAGAAGUUCCGUAACAAAAGGUAAGGGGCUUUUGAGGUAAACUAACAUAUCUAGAAAACAUCUGUAAAACUAAUUCUUUCUUGUUUGGUUCAUAGAUUUCCUACAGUGAAUUUGUUUGUAUGAUGUCUACCAACUUUCCCUUCAUAAAGCUCCAAGGAAAUAUCCGGGACAUAACUAAUGCCUAAAGGAACUACGGAACCAAGUGAUUCAUCAUAGACGGGUAGUCUGUAGCCGAGUACAAAUUUACUGUUAAAUUUUCGGAAAGUGGCGACCAUGUCGGACCAGUUUUUUCCGAACGUUUCACUGUUCGGCUUUCCGAGUGGAUUGUCACCAACAUAUCCACAAGCCGGUAUCAUCCUGACUA